rnacentral:rRNA from 1 species
UACGAAGGGGGCUAGCGUUGCUCGGAAUCACUGGGCGUAAAGGGUGCGUAGGCGGGUCUUUUAAGUCAGGGGUGAAAUCCUGGAGCUCAACUCAAGAACUGCCUUUGAUACUGAAGAUCUUGAGUUCGGGAGAGGUGAGUGGAACUGCGAGUGUAGAGGUGAAAUUCGUAGAUAUUCGCAAGAACACCAGUGGCGAAGGCGGCUCACUGGCCCGAUACUGACGCUGAGGCGCGAAAGCGUGGGGAGCAAACAGG